rnacentral:pre_miRNA from 11 species
GCAUUUGAACGAGGGCUGGCAACGCGUAUUCUUGGGUCAUUUAACACUGAUUUUGAGUUGUUAUUGCUUGAGAAUACACGUCGCUUCCAAGUUCAUCGAAU